GGAGUCUGGGCCGUAUCUCAGUCCCAAUGUGGCCGUUCAACCUCUCAGUCCGGCUACUGAUCGUCGCCUUGGUGGGCCGUUACCCCGCCAACUAGCUAAUCAGACGUGAGCCCAUCCUUCAGCGAUAAAUCUUUGGUAUCCAGAUGAUGCCACCCGGAUACAUUAUGCGGUAUUAGCAGUCGUUUCCAACUGUUGUCCCCCUCUGAAGGGCAGGUUGCUCACGCAUUACUCACCCGUCCGCCACUAAGUCAAAUCCGAUUCUUGACGAAUCUCAAAUCGGAAGUGCUUCGUUCGACUUGCAUGUGUUAGGCACGCCGCCAGCGUUCGUCCUGAGCCAGUGAUACAACUCU
rnacentral:rRNA from 1 species